rnacentral:rRNA from 1 species
AUAUUGCACAAUGGGCGCAACGUGAUGCAGCGACGCCGCGUGAGGGAUGACGGCCUUCGGGUUGUAAACCUCUUUCGCUAGGGACGAAGCGUAAGUGACGGUACCUGGAGAAGAAGCACCGGCCAACUACGUGCCAGCAGCCGCGGUAAUACGUAGGGUGCGAGCGUUGUCCGGAAUUACUGGGCGUAAAGAGCUCGUAGGCGGUUUGUCGCGUCGUCUGUGAAAUUCUGCAACUCAAUUGCAGGCGUGCAGGCGAUACGGGCAGACUUGAGUACUACAGGGGAGACUGGAAUUCCUGGUGUAGCGGUGAAAUGCGCAGAUAUCAGGAGGAACACCGGUGGCGAAGGCGGGUCUCUGGGUAGUAACUGACGCUGAGGAGCGAAACGUGGGGAGCGAACAGGAUUAGAUACCCUGGUAGUCCACGCCGUAAACGGUGGGUACUAGGUGUGGGGCUCAUUUCACGAGUUCCGUGCCGUAGCUAACGCAUUAAGUACCCCGCCUGGGAGUACGGCCGCAACGUAAAACUCAAGGAUUGACGA